UGGGAGCUAGGGCUGGCCGCCGACGGCCGGACGGCGAGCGCUCCGACCGGGGACGGGAGCAGUCGGUCCGAGGGGUCCGGAGGUGGUGCUGGCCGGCGGCGGGCAGCAGCCGGUGGCGCGGCGGCGGAGAUCAAGCCCGCAUAGCUCCUCUCGGGUUCAAGGGCACCGGCGGCGAGGCGGCGGUCGGAGGAGCUCGGGACGGCGACCGAUCGGCGCCGGAGGCCGAGAGGAAGGCCGUGAACCCUACGGUGGGCGGCGGCGGCGCUCGGGGGCGGCGCGGCUCCAAGGUUGGCCCGCACGGGUCUGGACGGGUGCAGGAGUCCCAGCGGUGGCCGACGGCGUGCGGGGACGAUUGGGGAAGCACGCCGGAGGUCACCGGGGUCGGCUGGGAGGCGGCGCGGCCGAAGGAAGGUGGUGGCGGCUCCCGAAACUCGAGGUUGGCCCGGCUCGGUCUGGGCUGACCCGGGCUGGCCGCAGCUCCCUCAGGCGGCUCCGGCGACGUCCGGGGAUGGCCGGAGCCGGGGGAAGAACGUGCUGGAGGUGGAUCACGGCCCGGGGCUUCCUUCCAGAGAUGGUGGAGCCUCUCUACCUGCUCUCGGCCAAGGUGGGGGAGAGGGUGGCCGAGAGGGUGGACUGGGAAGGCUGCUGGUGGGUUUCCGGCGGCCGGAACAGCUCGCCGGCGGCCGGGGCGCGCGCACGGGCAGGGCAGGGCAGGGCUCAGCUGGGGCGGCUAGGGUGGUCUGGGUCAGCUGGGGGCGGAUUAGGGUUAGGGUUUCUCCUCGGAACCCUAGAUCUACCUAUAUAUAGGUAGAGGAAACUUGGGGAAAACCCCCUCGAAGUUGAUCAAUUUCGACCCAACUCCCUACCAGCUGGUGCACCUUGCACGACAGUCCCUCCGAGUUCAAAAACUCGCAAAACGGCGCAUAAAAUAAUGGGCUUCUUCGCGAUUUAUCCGUUUUGUCAAAUCAGCCCCUUAGCGGACUUUUCCCGAUUCCCGAAGAUCCGUCCGUCGGAUUUUCGAUCGGAUCGCACCAGGGCGAUCAGCACAACAGAGGCAUCGAAUCUAGCAUUUCGUUUUGCCCGAAAAGGUCUCCGAUUUGCGACAAAACCCACCCUCAUUGUUCUACCAAAACCACAUAUAGGUAUAAUUAUAUGAAAAAACCAUUAAACCCCUUUUUCUCUAAAUCCGUGCAUCCAAAUCCAAAUCCGACAGUGCCAAAGGGUC
rnacentral:lncRNA from 1 species